AUCCAGUCACUCUCUCUCCACUCUCUAUGUCAAAAACCCAUUUCAUCACGGAUUAUCCACCACCACCAUCAUCAAGAGUUUUUAGAUCUGUUUGGUUCAAGGAAGAAGAAGGUUAUAGCCAUGACUUCUGGUGAUUCGAGUAAAUACGUAUGGAAGAUUGAAAACUUUUCUAGCUUGAGUUGCAAGAGACAUUACUCUGAAAUUUUCUCUGCAUGUGGUAUUAAAUGGACUUUGUGUAUUGAACCAAAAGGGCGCCAUCAAACUCACAAAUCACCUGCAGGCGGGGUUGUAACAUGGAAUAGAACAAAAUUUGUAAUGGGCAUUCAACCUUAUGGCACCGGAUCGUGGUACGUCGAGUACCGUUUGUCUGUUAUCGAUCUAAAAGAUAGAGAGCAAACAAGAAAUUAUGAUAACGAACGUGAAAUGCGUGCCGCUUGCAUGGCAUUCUGAGAAGCAAUGCAUCUUACGGAACUGCUUGACCCAAAAAGAGGAUUUCUGGUUGAUGAUAUUUGUUAUAUUAAAGUACAUAUCAUUGGUGCUAUGAAGAUAGUAAGAACCUACCAGCCAAAGCCAGAGCCUGUUCAGGCACUCACUGGUGUAACAAUCCUGGCACUCACCGCGAAGAAUGAAAAAACAGGGAAUUCUAAAGAAAAGAAGGAAAAAGCUCAUUCAGUAGAGGCGAUGAUACAAUCUGCAGGUGAUUCAUCAAUUUCAGUGUCGAAUAAGAAUCCGGGAGAAAAUCAAAAUACAGAAGCAAAGGAUGAAAAAAGAAGCUUAUCGUUUUCUAAUUGGUUUCAAGAGCGAAUAGAGAAGAUUGAGAUCUUCAUCUCAUUCUUAAGUUAGCCUACACUUUAAUCUCCAUAUAUCUGUGUUAGUAAUUUGAUUCUGUGAUCACUUUGUCUUCUCAAACACCCUUUCCAUCCAUACAUGGCAAGUUAAUGACGCUUUGCUUAAUUAAGAUGGUCAAAUUAUGA